rnacentral:lncRNA from 1 species
AUUCCACUGAGCUGUCCCUGGCACAUCUGGUUCGUUACCAAAGUGAAGCAAGGGCCAGUCCUGUAAUCUCUUUCACACUGAGGUCCAGUAAAUCCAUAUGUGCAUGCACAUCGGUUUGGGGCAACACAUCUUCCUCCAUUUAGACAUCCAUUUUCACAAACAGGCUGUCCACAAUGCGUUCCUGUAUAUCCCUUCUGACAGAGGCAGUGGUCAUCGCUACAGCUACCUCCAUUCAUGCACCGGAUGUUACAGUGUUGUAUUGAUUUUGAACCACAGGAGGGGGCUAUCUGACCAUUUGGGCAUGUGCACAUGUUUGGUCUAGAGCAAAAUCCAUCCCCACAGGAAUGUCUGCAGAUUGGGACUAUGCACUGGUUUCCACCAGGUAAAGUUUUCCAUCCAGGGCAACAGUAAGCAUUGUAACGUGAUCCACACACAUUUGGUCCUUUGAGCGCGUCGUGCCCGCCGCCGCCCUGCCCUCUCCUCUUGGCCCGGCUGGCCCGCAGCUCCUUGGCGCUCGCCCCCUCGGAGUGCCCGGCGGCGGCGGCGGCGCCCGCCUGGGACGCCCACAGCACGGCAACUCCCAGGGCGAUCCCCAGCAGCCGCCCCCGCCACAUCGCGUCCCCCGAGCCCCCGGGCUCCGAGCGGCCGCCGCCUCCUCCUCCUCUCCGCCGCCGAAGUCCGCCGGUCCCCGCCGCGCCGCCUCCGCCGAGCUCCCCCGAAGCGAGCCGCUCGAGCCGCCGCCGCCGGCUGCCGUUCCCGCUGCUGUUCCAGCUGCGGCCGCUGCACCCACCGCUACUCCAGCUGCGGCUCCAGCUGCC